rnacentral:lncRNA from 1 species
GUCCUGGAGGCGGUAGAGCUCGGCCAGGAGCUGCAGGGAGCUCAGGGUCUGCUCCAGGCUGCGCACCUCGGGAAUUCCGGGAUUUUCCAGCAGCUUUUUCCACAGGGAAAAGGCUUCGUCCAGAGGCUGGGACAGAGCUGGGGGCACGCAGGGGUCAGGCAGGGAUGGGGGGAGAUUCCCAAAAAAUCCCUUCCCGACCUCCCAGGAUCCCAAAAAAAUCCCUUCCCAAUCCAACAGGAUCCCAAAAAUUCUCUUCCUAAUCCACCAGCCUCCCAAAAAAGCUCUUCCCAAACCAAGAGUAUCCCAGAAAACCUCUUCUUGACUUCCCAGGAUCCGAUAAAAUCCCUUCCUAAUCCAUCAGGAUCCCAAAAAUCCCUUCCCAACCUUCCAGGAUCCCAAAAAUCCCUUCCCAACCUCACAGGAUCCCAAAAAUCCUCUUCCCAAUCCAACAGGAUCCCAAAAAAAGCUCUUCCCAACUCAUCAGGAUCCCAAAAAUCCCUUCCUAACCUUCCAGGAUCCCAAAAAAUCUCUUCCCAAUCCACCAGAAUCCCAAAAAACCUCUUCCCAAACCAAAGUAUCCCAGAAAACCUCUUCCCGACCUCCCAGGAUCCCAAAAAAUCUCUUCCAACCUUCCAGGAUCCCAAAAAAGCUCUUUCCAAUCCAUCAGGAUCCCAAAAAUCCCUUCCUGACCUCACAGGAUCCCAAAAAUCCUCUUCCCAAUCCAUCAGGAUCCCAAAAAUCCCUUGCCAACCUUCCAGGAUCCCAUAAAAGCUCUUCCCGACCUCCCAGGAUCCCAAAAAUCCUCUUCCCAAUUCAACAGGAUCCCAAAAAUCCCUUCCUGACCUCACAGGAUCCCAAAAAAGCUCUUCCAACCUUCCAGGAUCCCAAAAAUCCCUUCCCAACCUUCCAGCAUCCCAAAAAUCCCUUCCCAACCUUCCAGGAUCCCAUAAAAGCUCUUCCCGACCUCACAGGAUCCCACAAAAUCCCUUCCUGCCCAUCCAGGAUCUUCAUCUAUCCCAAAAAACCUCAUCACCCUUCCCAAAAAUCC